rnacentral:misc_RNA from 1 species
GUGUGUGUGUGUGUGUGUGUGAAGAUUGAUAGGUACACAGGGUCUAACCUUAUUCUCUCAACUCUACUUUCAUUCUCAAAAUUAUCAAUACUGACUGAGGCAUUGGAGCAGUGGUCAACUAACUCACUCAGUACUUCCUUGUUUUGCAGAUCCACACCUAUGGAGAUCCCUGUGACAGCAUUAAUAAUUAAUAUCAAACUCAUAGAGUUGACAACUUGACUAUAGUUAGUCCCGAUUGAAGAAGAAACGGCUAGCCCCAAUCACCUAUAAAGAAACACUGACCUCUAUUAAAUAACUAAAAAAAUUAAUCAAUUAAUUUAAUCUGCAAAAGAAAGAAUAAAUUAUAAGGCAUUGCUAAAAUUUUGGGAGUCUACCCUACAACUGGACCUAACCCCUCUGCAAGAAAACUCAGUAGAAAGCAAUACACAGAGCCUCCAACCCACAACAAUAGCAUCACAUGCCUGUUUGGGGCCUACAAUAACCUAAUCUAAGUCCAAAUCUCCAAUCCCUAGCUCUGGUCCCUGACUUAUUUACAGUCUAAAUAAUUAUUUUUGACAUUUUAAAAAUUAUAAAAAUAUUCCUAGAGGUAUUUUACAUUAUCUUUGUAUUAAUAAAAUUUAUUUUACUUAAUUUUUCUAAGUCAAAUAUUUUAUAGACUAAACAACUAGCUCAAAAUAAGACAAAAACUAUAUAACU